rnacentral:rRNA from 1 species
AACGAACGCUGGCGGCGUGCUUAACACAUGCAAGUCGAACGGAAAGGCCCUGCUUUUGUGGGGUGCUCGAGUGGCGAACGGGUGAGUAACACGUGAGUAACCUGCCCUUGACUUUGGGAUAACUUCAGGAAACUGGGGCUAAUACCGGAUAGGAGCUCCUGCUGCAUGGUGGGGGUUGGAAAGUUUCGGCGGUUGGGGAUGGACUCGCGGCUUAUCAGCUUGUUGGUGGGGUAGUGGCUUACCAAGGCUUUGACGGGUAGCCGGCCUGAGAGGGUGACCGGCCACAUUGGGACUGAGAUACGGCCCAGACUCCUACGGGAGGCAGCAGUGGGGAAUAUUGCACAAUGGGCGGAAGCCUGAUGCAGCAACGCCGCGUGCGGGAUGACGGCCUUCGGGUUGUAAACCGCUUUCGCCUGUGACGAAGCGUGAGUGACGGUAAUGGGGAAAGAAGCACCGGCUAACUACGU